GCUCCGCGAUGGGAGCCGGAGCGGCCUCGGCGUACACAGCCCGCGCUCCUCCCUCGCCUCCUCCUCUUUCUCCUCCUCCUCAGGGCUCCAGUCAGGCCGAGCCGCUCCGCUCACGUGCUACCUGUCCUCGCUAUACCUGACUGGAGCCUGUCCUUCCUGUGAUCCUGGCUGUGUCAGAACUCCUAUGAGUUCAGCUGUCUCUGGGGUCCUGUGAUUCUGUUAUCUUGGGAUCCUGAGAUCCUGGGUGUGUCAGAGCUCCGGAAGUCAAGCUGCCUCUGGGAUCCUGAGAUCCUGGUGUGACCAAGCUCCUGAGAUCCUAUGAUCCUGGGCGUGUUAAAAUGGAGCUUCCUCUGGAUGUUGUGGGACUGGCUGCAGAAUUUGAGCCCAAGGUCUGUUCAGGAAAAUGUCCCAAGACUGGAAGGAACCUGUGCAACUGGUUGGGUGGCUGGGUCCUGCUGGUCCCAGUUACUUCUGGUGUUGGGGCAGAUGUUGUAUCUUCCUCACCUGAUUCUAUGAUCUUGGGCAUGUUAGAGCACCUGGGAGUGGAACUUCCUCUGAGUGUUGUAAGAGUCUGUAUUUAAUGGCUGAAAGCAGAGCAAUCUGUGUGUCCAAAGUAUAAAGUGAACCUUAGAAAGUAAGCCUGUUUAGUUUUGAUACAAAGAUUCCAAGCACUUAACAUGACUGAUUGAAUACAGAUUUUGAAGGAAAGCUAUAACACUGAAAAAAUUGACUAGAUAGGAAUGAAAAAGAGAGACUUCGAGAAAAAAUAAAAUUCCAGAGAUUCAUUAUGAAGUUGUAGUAGAAAAAGGGGAAAAUGCAGAGGAAGUUUUUGUCAAGUGAAGUUAGAUUUGCACAAUACAAAAUUAUUCUGAAGCAUACAGUUCAGUGGCAUUUAGUAUAGUCAUUAUGAUAUCCAACAAUUAAUGUUAUCUGAUUCCAGAAUAUAUGUUCAAGUCCCCUAAAGGAAACUUGCUUCUCAUAAAGCAGUCUCUCAUUCCCCCUUCCCCUCAACUCUUGGCAAACAUUAACAGGCUUUUUGUUUCUGGAUUUCCCUAUUUUGAGUAUUUUAGGUAAAUGGAAUAUGUAUAUCUAACAUUUUAGUAUGUUUUUGGGGAUUUGGUGGGCUUUAGUUUGUACAUAUCUUUUGCAAAUUGUUGUGAAGGAAAAUGCUGUUUCAUGAAUGUUUCUUGAAGUAGUCCACUGCUUUUGGCUUUUUACAGCCUUUCUGCCUGCCUGCUUAAUUCCUUCCUUCCUUCCUUCCUUCCUUCCUUCCUUUCUUUUUUAUUUAUAUGAAUACACUGCAGCUGUCUUCAGACACACACUAAAAGAGUGCAUCGGAUCCUAUUACAGAUGGUUGUGAGCCAUGUGGUUGCUGGGAAUUGAACUCGGGACCUCUGGCAGAAUAGUCAGUGCUCUUAACCUUUGAGCCAUCUCUCCAGUCCCUGCCUUAUUCUUAUUCUGCGUAGGUAGACCUCUGAUUCUUGAGGGGAGAGGUGUGAUGAACAUUAUCCCAUUUAGGGCUGACUGAAGUGUUCAGCAUGUCUCAUUCUCUACAAUGUCAGUUGUGGGUCUCUGUCAGUUACCAUCUACUACAAGAAGUUUUGCUGGUGAAAGGUGAGCGAUAUACUGGACUUUAAGUAUAGAUAUAUGUUCUUAGGAGUCAUUUAUGACUUAGCAUGUCUUCAAAGUUUUUUUUAUUAUGGUGUGCCUUCAAUAAACUAUUCUUUCUUAACUGAGAUUGAUACACGCCGUGUGGUUCGUGUGACAAUUCCCUGAACUUCAAAAGUUUGUCUGUUAGAAUUUUGGGAAUUUUCAGGUGGAUACUUUUAGCAGAAUAGUGUAGUGAGAAUUUUGAUUUCUUUGAAAAACACAGAAAUAAUAUUUGAAUAUGUUUUCAUUUUAAUCCCAGGUGUGGGAUAAGGCUGCUUCAGAUUGUCCACAGCAACAGACUAUGAUUUGCCUCAUGCUCUAGCAGGAGCAGGAUUUUGCCAGCAGCACUUUCUGCAAUUGUGUGAUAUUAGGAAUUCUGGGGACUUUUCAGAGGGUAUAUAAAUGCUAGGGUCCCAGGGGUUGUUGAUAAGUGGUUGGUUGGUGUUUGGUUGCUGCUUGUCAUGCAUGGUUUGUUAAGUAGUCAUGUACAAAAGAAGAAACAAGAAGAAACUAGAUUUCCUGAUGGUGAAGAUCAAACUUGCCACAAGGAACUUGGAGCCCCUAAUCAGCAGGAAGUAGUCCCACAAUAAUGUCGCUUCCUUUCCCUUCUACCCAUUUUUUUCUUUCUUGUUUAGUAUUGGGUUGAAAGGGUGGAGGAAAAAGAGUAGAAGAAAGAAGAACCUACAAAGUAGUCAAAAGAUAGGGUAGGUUACAAGAAAGCUUUGUAUCUGGGCUUCUUCGUUUUAGCUCAAUGUGGCUGAUAAGUGAGUAGCAAAAAAGAGCAAAUGGCUUGCAGCCUGUAUUAAAUUUGUAAGAUUUAUUUGUUGAGGUGAUACAAAGGGAUUUUGUUGUUGUUGUUGACUUUUGUAUUUUGUUGUGAAAAAGUUUUUUUUGUAAAGUUUUUUGUUUGUUUGUUUGGUUUUUUGAGAUAGGUUUUUCCUGUGUAACCCUGGCUGACCCGGAGCUCACUCUGUAGACCAGACUGGCCUCAAACUCAAGAGUUCUGCCUGUCUCUAUGCUGGAAUUAUAGGCAUGUGAUAUCACACCUGGCUGAACCUUGGGCUCUUGACCCUUGGCAGCUUUGUGGAACUCUUGCAGCUACUGAGAUUCUCAUUCUUGGCUUCUAGCAGCUGAUUCUUGCCUUGUAUAGUCUUAGCUCAUUGCUGCUCGUCACUUACCCUCCCAGUGCUCCUCCAGUCCCUUUUGUUUCCUCAGUCUGUGUACUUGGUCACUAUUUGGACUCUAAAGAUUCACCUAGCUACAGAGUGAACAAACUCUCCUGUUACUUUCUAGCAGUUGCUUUUGAUGUCCCACUGCCUGGAACUAGAAGCCUGGAGUUCUUUCUGUUUAUAGUGUUACUAACACAGCCUGAUCUACUCUUGAUAAUGUAGAUUAU
rnacentral:lncRNA from 1 species